AACGCAUUAAGUGCCCCGCCUGGGGAGUACGGCCGCAAGGCUAAAACUCAAAGGAAUUGACGGGGGCCCGCACAGCGGCGGAGCAUGUGGCUUAAUUGACGCAACGCGAAGAACCUUACCAAGGCUUGACAUACACCGGAAACGGCCAGAGAUGGUCGCCCCCUUGUGGUCGGUGUACGGUGGUGCAGGCUGUGUCAGCUCGUGUCGUGAGAUGUUGGGUUAAGUCCCGCAACGAGCGCAACCCUUGUCCCGUGUUGCCAGCAGGCCCUUGUGGUGCUGGGGACUCACGGGAGACCGCCGGGGUCAACUCGGAGGAAGGUGGGGACGACGUCAAGUCAUCAUGCCCCUUAUGUCUUGGGCUGCACACGUGCUACAAUGGCCGGUACAAUGAGCUGCGAUACCCGAGGUGGAGCGAAUCUCAAAAAGCCGGUCUCAUUCGGAUUGGGGUUCAACUCGACCCCAUGAAGUGGAGUCGCUAGUAAUCGCAGAUCAGCAUUGCUGCGGUGAAUACGUUCCCGGGCCUUGUACACACCGCCCGUCACGUCACGAAAGUCGGUAACACCCGAAGCCGGUGGCCCACCCCUUGUGGGAGGGAGCGUCGAAGGUGGGACUGGCGAUUG
rnacentral:rRNA from 1 species